rnacentral:rRNA from 1 species
UCCACGCAGUAAACGUUGUACACUAGGUGUAGCGGGUAUUGACCCCUGCUGUGCCGGAGCUAACGCAUUAAGUGUACCGCCUGGGGAGUACGGACGCAAGAUUAAAACUCAAAGGAAUAGACGGGGACCCGCACAAGUGGUGGAGCAUGUGGUUUAAUUCGAUGAUACGCGAGGAACCUUACCUGGGCUUAAAUGUAGAACGACUUCCCGUGAAAACGGGAUUCUCUUCGGAGCGUUUUACAAGGUGCUGCAUGGUUGUCGUCAGCUCGUGCCGUGAGGUGUCGGGUUAAGUCCCAUAACGAGCGCAACCCCUAUCCUUAGUUGCCAUCAGAUAAUGCUGGGGACUCUAAGGAAACUGCCUACGCAAGUAGUG